rnacentral:pre_miRNA from 1 species
UNAGUACUCCCUCCGUCCCAAAAUUCUUGUCUUAGAUUUGUCUAGAUACAGAUGUAUCAAGUCACAUUUUAGUAUUAGAUACAUCCGUAUCUAGACAAAUCUAAGACAAGAAAUUUGGGACAGAGGGAGUAGUUG